ensembl:lncRNA
UAACACUCACACUUUACAAUUAUACACUUUACAGUGAACACUCACACUAUACAGUUACCCUCACACUUUACAGUUAACAUUCACACUGUACAGUUAUACACUUUACAGUUCACACUCACACUUUACAGUUCACACUCAUAGUUAACACUCAAACAUCAAAACAUCAAUAUACACACUUAGUGCCACAUUAUAUUUGGCUCUGUUGUAUCAAAGGCCCUAUAGUUUCCUAAUGUCCCUGGGCCUAUACGGCUGUAUAUGGGGCUACAUAUAGGGGCUAUACCCCAAACUGGAAAUGAUCACAUCUGGAAUGCUAUAGGUUCACUCUCUGCCUUAAAUGAGUCAGCUGGGAUCUGAAAACAGAGACAGAACGUUCCUCAUCUGUCUGAACUCUUAACCAUCUCAGAGACAAGACGUUUCUCAUCUGUCUGAACUCUUAACCAUCUCAGAGACAAGACGUUUCUCAUGUGUCUGAACUCUUAAACCAUCUCAGAGACAAGACGUUCCUCAUCUGUCUGAACUCUUAAACCAUCUCAGAGACAAGACGUUUCUCAUCUGUCUGAACUCUUAACCAUCUCAGAGACAAGACGUUUCUCAUCUGUCUGAACUCUUAACCAUCUCAGAGACAAGACGUUCCUCAUCUGUCUGAACUCUUAACCAUCUCAGAGACAAGACGUUUCUCAUCUGUCUGAACUCUUAACCAUCUCAGAGACGAGACGUUCCUCAUCUGUCUGAACUCUUAACCAUCUCAGAGACAAGACGUUUCUCAUCUGUCUGAACCCUUAACCAUCUCAGAGACAAGACAUUUCUCAUCUGUCUGAACCCUUAACCAUCUCAGAGACAAGAUGUUUCUCAUCUGUCUGAACUCUUAACCAUCUCAGAGACAAGACGUUUCUCAUCUGUCUGAACUCUUAACCAUCUCAGAGACAAGACGUUUCUCAUCUGUCUGAACUUUUAACCAUCUCAGAGACAAGACGUUUCUCAUCUGUCUGAACUCUUAACCAUCUCAGAGACAAGACGUUUCUCAUCUGUCUGAACUCUUAACCAUCUCAGAGACAAGGCGUUUCUCAUCUGUCUGAACUCUUUACCCUCUCAGAGACAAAGGCUGGGGAUCCCUGAUUAGAGGGGAAUCACCCAUGUGCUGUCCCAGGUUUAAAUCAAGCCCUGAUUAGAGAGGAAUCACCCACGUGCUGUUCCAGGUCUAAAUCAGGCCCAGAUUAGAGAGGAAUCGCCCACGUGUUGUCCCAGGUCUAAAUCAGGACCUGAUUAUAGGGGAAUCACCCACGUGCUGUUCCAGGUCUAAAUCAGGCCCUGAUUAUAGGGGAAUCGCCCACGUGUUGUCCCAGGUCUAAAUCAGGCCCUGAUUAGAGGGGAAUCGCCCACGUGCUGUCCCAGGUGUAAAUCAGGCCCUGAUUAUAGGGGAACAAUGAUAAAAGCAGCAGAACAGUCUUCCCAGGGCCAGAGUUGAAUUUGAGGAUUACAGGGAAAAGGAUGCCAUUUCAAACACACCCAUAAUGUUUCUAAACCAUCUCUUCCUCUGGCUGCUAAACUGGGGAGUCCAACAGCGUCUAACUGAGUCACACUAACUGGCUAUAAGGAUUAUUAUAAUAACUGGCUAGAACCAUGGAACCAGAGGUUAGAACUGGCUAGAACCAUGGAACCAUAGUUGAGAACUGGCUAAAACCAUGGAACCAUAGUUGAGAACUGGUUAGAACUGGCCAGAACCAUGGAACCAUAGUUGAGAACUGGUUAGAACUGGCUAGAACCAUGGAACCAUAGUUGAGAACUGGUUAGAACUGGCUAGAACCAUGGAACCAUAGUUGAGAACUGGCUAGAACCAUGGAACCAUAGUUGAGAACUGGUUAGAACUGGCUAGAACCAGGGAACCAUAGUUGAGAACUGGUUAGAACUGGCUAGAACCAUAGUUUAGAACUGGUUAAAACCAUAGAACCAUGCCUGUCUGUCUGUCUGGCCUAGAUUCUAAUACGCUACAGGAAUCUCUAUGCACCCUGACUAGAACACACAGCUGUGAUGCGAUUCGGAGGUUGACAUUAAUAAGGAUUCUAGAGAAAACGUGAUGAUCUGAACCAUGUGUGUCUGUGAUGUAAUUACACGUCUUUGUGAUGACGAAGAGCACAACUCUUUAUUGAUGAAACACUCGCCUGUCUGAACCUCUGCGUAGUCUAAUAUCGGGGCGCUGCUAUUGGCCCGUGAGCACAAAGGGGGAAAUCCGAUUGGUUGUGGCGGUGCUUUGCUUGGUUUUCUAUGUAACUCUGUUUCUUGGCAAAUUUAAUGAAACUGUUUUUUUUCUUCUUUUCAUAAUGUGGCAUUUGUAUUUCAACUUAAAGCCCAAUAAAACUUCACAGUGUAAAAAGUUCCCUGAGAAACUCCUGUAUUUU